UGGGGAAUAUUGGACAAUGGGCGAAAGCAUGAUCCAGCCAUGCCGCGUGUGUGAAGAAGGUCUUCGGAUUGUAAAGCACUUUACGUUGGGAGGAAGGGCAGUAAGCGAAUACCUUGCUGUUUUGACGUUACCGACAGAAUAAGCACCGGCUAACUCUGUGCCAGCAGCCGCGGUAAUACAGAGGGUGCAAGCGUUAAUCGGAAUUACUGGGCGUAAAGCGCGCGUAGGUGGUUCGUUAAGUUGAAUGUGAAAGCCCCGGGCUCAACCUGGGAACGGCAUCCAAAACUGGCGAGCUAGAGUAGGGCAGAGGGUGGUGGAAUUUCCUGUGUAGCGGUGAAAUGCGUAGAUAUAGGAAGGAACACCAGUGGCGAAGGCGACCACCUGGGCUCAUACUGACACUGAGGUGCGAAAGCGUGGGGAGCAAACAGG
rnacentral:rRNA from 1 species